UUAAGCGACUAAGCGUACACGGUGGAUGCCCUGGCAGUCAGAGGCGAUGAAGGACGUGCUAAUCUGCGAUAAGCGUCGGUAAGGUGAUAUGAACCGUUAUAACCGGCGAUUUCCGAAUGGGGAAACCCAGUGUGAUUCGUCACACUAUCAUUAACUGAAUCCAUAGGUUAAUGAGGCGAACCGGGGGAACUGAAACAUCUAAGUACCCCGAGGAAAAGAAAUCAACCGAGAUUCCCCCAGUAGCGGCGAGCGAACGGGGAGGAGCCCAGAGCCUGAAUCAGUGUGUGUGUUAGUGGAAGCGUCUGGAAAGGCGCGCGAUACAGGGUGACAGCCCCGUACACAAAAAUGCACAUGCUGUGAGCUCGAUGAGUAGGGCGGGACACGUGGUAUCCUGUCUGAAUAUGGGGGGACCAUCCUCCAAGGCUAAAUACUCCUGACUGACCGAUAGUGAACCAGUACCGUGAGGGAAAGGCGAAAAGAACCCCGGCGAGGGGAGUGAAAAAGAACCUGAAACCGUGUACGUACAAGCAGUGGGAGCACAGAGCAAUCUGUGUGACUGCGUACCUUUUGUAUAAUGGGUCAGCGACUUAUAUUCUGUAGCAAGGUUAACCGAAUAGGGGAGCCGAAGGGAAACCGAGUCUUAACUGGGCGUUAAGUUGCAGGGUAUAGACCCGAAACCCGGUGAUCUAGCCAUGGGCAGGUUGAAGGUUGGGUAACACUAACUGGAGGACCGAACCGACUAAUGUUGAAAAAUUAGCGGAUGACUUGUGGCUGGGGGUGAAAGGCCAAUCAAACCGGGAGAUAGCUGGUUCUCCCCGAAAGCUAUUUAGGUAGCGCCUCGUGAAUUCAUCUCCGGGGGUAGAGCACUGUUUCGGCAAGGGGGUCAUCCCGACUUACCAACCCGAUGCAAACUGCGAAUACCGGAGAAUGUUAUCACGGGAGACACACGGCGGGUGCUAACGUCCGUCGUGAAGAGGGAAACAACCCAGACCGCCAGCUAAGGUCCCAAAGUCAUGGUUAAGUGGGAAACGAUGUGGGAAGGCCCAGACAGCCAGGAUGUUGGCUUAGAAGCAGCCAUCAUUUAAAGAAAGCGUAAUAGCUCACUGGUCGAGUCGGCCUGCGCGGAAGAUGUAACGGGGCUAAACCAUGCACCGAAGCUGCGGCAGCGACACUAUGUGUUGUUGGGUAGGGGAGCGUUCUGUAAGCCUGUGAAGGUGUACUGUGAGGUAUGCUGGAGGUAUCAGAAGUGCGAAUGCUGACAUAAGUAACGAUAAAGCGGGUGAAAAGCCCGCUCGCCGGAAGACCAAGGGUUCCUGUCCAACGUUAAUCGGGGCAGGGUGAGUCGACCCCUAAGGCGAGGCCGAAAGGCGUAGUCGAUGGGAAACAGGUUAAUAUUCCUGUACUUGGUGUUACUGCGAAGGGGGGACGGAGAAGGCUAUGUUGGCCGGGCGACGGUUGUCCCGGUUUAAGCGUGUAGGCUGGUUUUCCAGGCAAAUCCGGAAAAUCAAGGCUGAGGCGUGAUGACGAGGCACUACGGUGCUGAAGCAACAAAUGCCCUGCUUCCAGGAAAAGCCUCUAAGCAUCAGGUAACAUCAAAUCGUACCCCAAACCGACACAGGUGGUCAGGUAGAGAAUACCAAGGCGCUUGAGAGAACUCGGGUGAAGGAACUAGGCAAAAUGGUGCCGUAACUUCGGGAGAAGGCACGCUGAUAUGUAGGUGAAGUCCCUCGCGGAUGGAGCUGAAAUCAGUCGAAGAUACCAGCUGGCUGCAACUGUUUAUUAAAAACACAGCACUGUGCAAACACGAAAGUGGACGUAUACGGUGUGACGCCUGCCCGGUGCCGGAAGGUUAAUUGAUGGGGUUAGCGCAAGCGAAGCUCUUGAUCGAAGCCCCGGUAAACGGCGGCCGUAACUAUAACGGUCCUAAGGUAGCGAAAUUCCUUGUCGGGUAAGUUCCGACCUGCACGAAUGGCGUAAUGAUGGCCAGGCUGUCUCCACCCGAGACUCAGUGAAAUUGAACUCGCUGUGAAGAUGCAGUGUACCCGCGGCAAGACGGAAAGACCCCGUGAACCUUUACUAUAGCUUGACACUGAACAUUGAGCCUUGAUGUGUAGGAUAGGUGGGAGGCUUUGAAGUGUGGACGCCAGUCUGCAUGGAGCCGACCUUGAAAUACCACCCUUUAAUGUUUGAUGUUCUAACGUUGACCCGUGAUCCGGGUUGCGGACAGUGUCUGGUGGGUAGUUUGACUGGGGCGGUCUCCUCCUAAAGAGUAACGGAGGAGCACGAAGGUUGGCUAAUCCUGGUCGGACAUCAGGAGGUUAGUGCAAUGGCAUAAGCCAGCUUGACUGCGAGCGUGACGGCGCGAGCAGGUGCGAAAGCAGGUCAUAGUGAUCCGGUGGUUCUGAAUGGAAGGGCCAUCGCUCAACGGAUAAAAGGUACUCCGGGGAUAACAGGCUGAUACCGCCCAAGAGUUCAUAUCGACGGCGGUGUUUGGCACCUCGAUGUCGGCUCAUCACAUCCUGGGGCUGAAGUAGGUCCCAAGGGUAUGGCUGUUCGCCAUUUAAAGUGGUACGCGAGCUGGGUUUAGAACGUCGUGAGACAGUUCGGUCCCUAUCUGCCGUGGGCGCUGGAGAAUUGAGGGGGGCUGCUCCUAGUACGAGAGGACCGGAGUGGACGCAUCACUGGUGUUCGGGUUGUCAUGCCAAUGGCACUGCCCGGUAGCUAAAUGCGGAAGAGAUAAGUGCUGAAAGCAUCUAAGCACGAAACUUGCCCCGAGAUGAGUUCUCCCUGACUCCUUGAGAGUCCUGAAGGAACGUUGAAGACGACGACGUUGAUAGGCCGGGUGUGUAAGCGCAGCGAUGCGUUGAGCUAACCGGUACUAAUGAACCGUGAGGCUUAACCU
rnacentral:rRNA from 1 species